GAAAAAUAAGAUGACACAUCUGUUAUUGUGAUGGUGCUUGAAAAGUAAACAAGGUUUCCUGGUUUCCAUGCAAAGAAAGAACAUUAAUAACUUCAGAAAGAUCAAUCAUAAUGGAUUCCAUGAUUUGGGCACUCACAAUACAGUGGGUCUUACACUGAAUGCAAUCGAUGUAUUCUCUCUUAAUCCUGGAAGGUAAGUAUUGCUGUUUACUAUUUACAAAGGCAGAAACUACGACUUAUUGAGAUUAAAUAUCUUGUCAGAGGUCACAUAACUAGUGACUGGUGGAGCUGGGACUCAGUCCCAGCUUCAUCUGAUUCCAAAGCCCGUGUUCAUCUUGCUACAACAGACUGCAUUUCCUUUUAUGUGCGCCAGAUAAGAAGUCUGGAUGGAAUCCUCAUGAUUUCCAGGGACCCAAAGACAAAGAAUGACUUUGCCACUACUUGGAUUCUGUGAGUCAUUUUCUGAAGAAGGCAGGCCCAGGUCUAACGUGUUUUGACUCAAUAUUUUUUCCUUGUUAACUUUAAAAUAUGUUGCUAUUCCAAAGUGAUGAGGAGCUGGCUCCUGACUACUCUGGAAUUUCUCAAGUUCUGUGGAAUGCUUUUGGCUGGUAGAGGAGUUUGAUGAAACACGUGAAAAUACUUUGAGCCCUGAAAGAAACACAUAUCCCCUCGGUGGACAUCCAUGCAAUUGUUUUGGAUCUACAGAGCACGCAGUCAUUUCCAACAGAUCACAGGACGAGAGAGCUGUAUGAAUCCUGAGAGCACCCAGUAAAGAGCUUUACUGCUGGGCCAAUCAGACAGUGUUCAGCAGAGCCCAUUGGUGGGAAAUACCAGAGUGGAUAACGAUGUCAUGGCAACAGGAAGACCUGUCCCUAAGAUGGAGAGUGAAGAGCUUUGGAUGAGAGAGCUGCUGUAGUGGACCAAGAGGACAGCUUUGCACCUGACAUGCUGGGGAAAUAUCUACUUUAUCUAUCUUGCAAGGCUGUUUGGGGAUCCAAGUAAGAUAAUGUAUGGAAAAUGUGUGAAAUGCUCCACAGAACAUCAUAUAAACAUAAAACAUCACUGCUAUUAAUAAAAGGGUGUUAUUCCUCCUUACUGAUUCAUAUCUUGUUCCACUUAAGCCUUUGGGCUAUUCGAAUUAACCCUCAUUAACAAUGUUAACUUGCAUUUUUACAGUAUAUUAGACUUCAGAGCACUUUCACAGAUUUCUUUCUUUUUUUUUUUUUUUU
rnacentral:lncRNA from 10 species